UACGAAGGGGGCUAGCGUUGCUCGGAAUCACUGGGCGUAAAGCGCACGUAGGCGGCUUUUUAAGUCAGGGGUGAAAUCCUGGAGCUCAACUCCAGAACUGCCUUUGAUACUGAGAAGCUUGAGUCCGGGAGAGGUGAGUGGAACUGCGAGUGUAGAGGUGAAAUUCGUAGAUAUCAGGAAGAACACCCGUGGCGAAGGCGGCUCUCUGGGACGGUACUGACGCUGAGACGCGAAAGCGUGGGGAGCGAACAGG
rnacentral:rRNA from 1 species